rnacentral:lncRNA from 1 species
UUUUUUUUUUCCAAACUGAAUUCCAAUAGGAAUAAGGGGGUAUUUGGCCUAGCUUUUCAGAAGUGAUUCUGUUUGAGUUCAGUAGAGUGUUUGAAAGCGACAGAUGAAAAAUCUGAUUCUACUUUUCAGAAUCAGAAAACUAAUUUUGGAGGCUCCAGAAUAAAAAAACUGUUUCUCCAAAACUGAUUCUGAUUUUAAACUCAAACUUUAAAUUUUUAUUUUUAUUUUAAAUUCAAAGUAUAAAUUUAAUAUUAAAUUUUAAAUUUUAAAUUUUAAAUUCAUAUUUGAAUUUUUAAAUCUCAACUUUUUUAAUUUAAAAUUUAAAAUUUAAAAUUUAAGUUUAAAAUCUCAAAUUUUAAAUUUUAAAUUUAAGAUAAAAUUUAAAUUUUGACAUUUCAGAUUUUAAAACUUAAAUUAAAAAAAUUUAAAUUUCAAAUUUAUUUUUGUGCAAAUUUGAAAUUUAAAAAUUAUACUUUUAAUUCAAAUUUAAAUUUUUAGUUAUAUUAAAAUAAAAUUUAGGAAAAAUAUUAUCAAGUAUCAAAAUUUUUUUUGCCAACAGAUUUAGAAAAUCAUUUGAGAAAAAUCACUUUUAUCUAUACUCAGCCAAACGUUCUAUAGUUUUUCACCAAAAUAAAUUCUUCAAAUCAAAAUCAUUUCUGUAAAAAAUCACUUUUUCAAAAGCUAGGCCAAACAGCCCCUAAUUUAUCUGAUACUAAAAGUAUAUAAUUUCGAAUACCGGUAUAAAAAAUAAAAAUUUAUAUAAAUAAAAAUACUAUAUCAAACUUUAUUACUUGGAGAAGAUAUAAUUAUAUCAAUGCAAUAUCUAUUAUUAUACAUAUUAUUGUAAAAAUUUAGGGUGAACUUCAAAUACUACCCUUGUGAUUUCAUAUUCUAUCAUUUUAGUAUCUUAUAAUUUAAAGUGUAUCACUUUAGUACCCUACCCCUGUUUGGUUCAGAGUUAAGGGGUGGAAUAACCUCUUAACCCCAAAGUUAUUCCCAAACACCCAAAUUGAGGGGUGGGGUUAGCUAACCUCACCCCACCCACCCACCCUACUACUCCAACUAAACAAAACACUAUGUUACUCACUAUCCUUCUUAUCCCACCUACUCCAACCAAAUACUAUUUUAUCCAUACAUGGACUAAACUCAAUUCUCAACCAAAUACAAAAUUACUCUAACCCCACUUUAACCUUGAACUUAACCCUAUUCCUAAAAUAACAAGUUUUUACUUAACCCCGAACCAAACGAUAGCCUAUAGUUUCAUUUUUCUCUUUCCGCCAAUACUUCCGUUAACUCUCCGUUAAAUCACAUACAAAGAAUUUUAGAUACCCCAUUUAUGGUUUAUCAAAUAUUCACUUUAGUAUCCUAUAGUUUGUCGAAUUUUUACUUUCAUAUCCUAUGGUUUACCGAAUUUUUACUUUAGUAUAUUGUGAUUUUAAUUCUGUCACUAAUUUAACGAAAAAUUAAUGAAAAGAAUAAUGAAAAGAAAAAAAUAAAAUCAUAGAAUACUAAAGUGAUGAAUUUUAAAUCAUAUGGUACUUAAUUUAAAAUUCAUCACUUUAGUAUUUUAUGAUUUUUUUUUUUUCGUUAUCCCCUAUGAUCUCAUAGGGUACUUAAAUGAGAAAGCGCAAAAUGACAAUAGUGAUAUUUGAAGUUUUUUUUCAAAAUUUAUAUCCAUAAUCAGAUGAAUUCGAAUUUGAAGUUUAUUUAUUUAUUUAUUUAUUUAUUUCCUGAUGAUCGUUUUUUUACCCUAGUAUAUUAUUUUAUUAUUUUUUCUUUACUCUCUUUCACUGUAAUUAACUUCGGCCCACGAUGGGUCGAAUUCAAUUACGUCAUUUCGGAUUAACUUGAGUUUCGAUCGUGACUAUUUUACGGCAAACCAAACAAUAAAAGUGGUAACUUAAGACGUAAAUGACUUCACCCCUCUUCACUUUUCCCUCACUUCUACCUAAUCAAACACACCCUUAGAUUUGUAUUC